rnacentral:misc_RNA from 1 species
CCUAGAGUUGUAGGCUUUGCCUGCUAUCUCUUACCCAUGUCUUUUGAGUACCUUCGUUUCCUCGGCGGGUCCGCCCGCCGAUUGGACAAUUUGAACCAUUUGCAGUUGCAAUCAGCGUCUGAAAAACUUAAUAGUUA